AGCCAAGAGAUGGAGUAUCUUGGUGAAAUAUUGAGGCCAGUAUAAUUGGAUUGAAGAAGGGAAGUGUGAGAAGAAUGGAAAAGUAAGAAGAGUAGGUUAUGAAGGGAUUUGAAGAGACAGUCUCACAAGUAGGCUAUGUGAUUGAUGAUGACAUAAUGUGAUGAGGUUCUUUAUCAGAAUGGUGGAAGUAUCAGAGAAGAGAAGGGGUAUAUUUGAAGGACAUUGCAAAGGUGGAGUUAAUAAUUCUUGGCAACAAAUUGAAUAUAUGAGCUUUCCUCAAGUCAAAUCCCUUUUACGUCAUGGUCAUGCAACAAGUCUCUUUUGUAAAGGAUGAAAACUGGAAAAAGACCUCUCUCUCCACAUGCUAAAGUUGGCACAGAAGUGAAAACACUGGCACUAUACAGAAGCCUGGGGAAGAAUCCAAGAAAACAAUUAUCAUAGGCAUUUGCAUGCUGACCCAGGAGUUCAUGCAGCACGAAGACCUUGCUAUUCUUUCCAAGAAGAAUCAUUUCCUUUUUGGAAACCCAGGGGAGGCACAGAGUGGCAGAUUCCUUUCAACCCAAUGUACUGGGCCAUCUGCCAUCAGGACCAUUCAAACCCUGAGAGUCACCCUUAAUCGGUAAGCAGCAGAUGCAAUAUACAGCACUCAGAAAGCUAAGACACAGAAAAUAUGGAAAGGGGAAUAUACAUUUCCGAAGAGCUUUCUGCCAAAAAGACAAGGACAGAGAAGUAAGGGUACCUUUUGAAUUCUUCCAUCAAUAUCCAAAUAAAUUGCCUUGGGCCGCACCUGUUGAGAUCUUCCUCAGAGUGAAGCAACCUGUGCAGAGACAGAUACAGAUGGACUCUACAUCCUGAAAAUGCUGGAAAAAUCACAUUGCUGAAAUUGUUCCAGGGCUUGGUACUUGACCCUCAUUUGGACCUCAUUUGGAGUACAUAUGAUGGGAUAAUGUCAAGCACAUAUAAAUAAAUGUUAGUUGUUAUUUUUUUAUCCCUCCACAGCAUGGAAUACAAUAUUUUUAAGUUCUUUACAUUUUUUCCCCUGAAGACAUCAUUGGAUGAUAGUUUUGUAGGAAAAAAAUAUUUUUUUUUUCCAAUUGAGAUUGUCACAUGAUUCUGCUUGACUAAUUUAAGGCCAGUUGCAUAACCAAAUGUGCAGAAGCACAGGUAAAUGAUUAAAACAAUAACUCUAUUAAGACACAUGGAGAACAGGAUUUGAAUCUCUUUUAUAUAUCCAAUAUAGUAACAUGCAUACAUGGUUGAUAGUAAAUUAUUGGAGUCAGAAAAUACUGAAAUUAAUCAUUAGAAGAGAUUUAAAAUUUUGGUGGUGACAUAUAGUGGAAUCAUAUGUCCUUGUUAUACUAAUAUAUUGAUUCAGAGUAUGGAUUUGAAAUCACAGGAUCUAGGUUUAAAUAUUGGUUUUACUAACUUACUAUCUAUAAAACAUAAGCAAGUCACUUGGAUUUUCUUAAACUUCAGUUUUCUCAUUUAUAAAAUGAAAUGUAGGUAAGGUGGUCUGCAAGAAGCUCUUCCAACUCUGUAUUGUAUAAUCCUAUAAAUUUUCUUAUUUUCUUUCAACUAAAUCAGUAAAUAAUUCUUAUUCUUUGGUCACUAUAGCUACCUGAAUGAUUUAGAUGCCUGCUUAAGUUUUCAGUUUUUGCUAAUAUUUUUCUUCCUAAACUGUUCGAGAAGUCCCACAUCAUUUGUCUUUGUUAUCUUUCCCUUUAUGAAAUACAGUGCCUUUCUCUUAGGGGUAAUACACUGAUAAAUGCUUGUUGAAUCUUUGUGAAUUGAUAAGUCUAUGACCCCCUUGAAAUUCUGUAAUGCAGUGGUAAAAUAGACUGUAAGAUGUUGACCUAUAACACUUUAAGAUUAUUUGUAAAUAUGCUUCUUCAUAUUAUCUUGUGAGUUUAUGUAUGGUGAAUAAGUAAUUGAUAUAUUCUAAUAAUGGAUGAUAUAUAACAAUUGUUUUGAUUCUGUGUUCUUGGCAUUUUAAUUCAAAUGGGUAUGUUACUGAACUUCUUUGCAAUAUAUUAAAACAGGGGCAGCUAGGUGGUGCAGUCCUCCUGAAGUCAGGAGGACCUGAGUUCAA